rnacentral:rRNA from 1 species
GAUGAACGCUAGCUACAGGCUUAACACAUGCAAGUCGAGGGGUAACGAGAGGAAAGCUUGCUUUCCUUGUCGACGACCGGCGCACGGGUGAGUAACGCGUAUCCAACCUGCCCCCAACUAGGGAAUAACCUUGCGAAAGUAAGACUAAUACCCUAUAAUUUCCUCAGAUGACAUCUGACGAGGAAUAAAGAUUUAUCGGUUGUGGAUGGGGAUGCGUCUGAUUAGCUUGUUGGCGGGGUAACGGCCCACCAAGGCAACGAUCAGUAGGGGUUCUGAGAGGAAGGUCCCCCGCAUUGGAACUGAGACACGGUCCAAACUCCUACGGGAGGCAGCAGUGAGGAAUAUUGGUCAAUGGGCGGAGGCCUGAACCAGCCAAGUAGCGUGCAGGAUGACGGCCCUAUGGGUUGUAAACUGCUUUUAUACAGGAAUAAAGUUAGCCACGUGUGGUUAUUUGUAGGUACUGUAUGAAUAAGGACCGGCUAAUUCCGUGCCAGCAGCCGCCGUAA